rnacentral:rRNA from 1 species
UACGUAGGGGGCAAGCGUUGUCCGGAAUCAUUGGGCGUAAAGCGCGCGUAGGCGGCCCGGUAAGUCCGUUGUGAAAGUCAAAGGCUCAACCUUUGAACGCCGAUGGAUACUGCCGGGCUAGAGUCCGGAAGAGGCGAGUGGAAUUCCUGGUGUAGCGGUGGAAUGCGUAGAUAUCAGGAGGAACACCGGUGGUGUAAACGGCUUUCUGGACCAUAACUGACACUGAGGCACGAAAGCGUGGGUAGCAAACAGG